UUAGCCUGUAAGACAAAUUUAAGGGCCCACAACCACGGUGUGUUGUUAAAGCAGAGGGCUCUGUAGCUGCUCGCUUUCUGUUCUGGUUUCAGUAAAAAACUCUGCUAGAUUUAAUCAACAGUAGUUUUAUAUUACAAAUAGGCUAACUUCAAAUGGACAUACUUAGAUUUUCAAUACUUUACCCUCAAAGUUCACCUGCUGGUCGGUUUCUGAGGCACGUUCGCGGUUCACCGCCGUCUCCUGGUCCUCAAGUACCCGAUGCAACAGCCCAACUCUGGCCUUGAGGGGUUUGAAAUGACCGCGUCAACUGACUUUGCAGUCCCAUCCACCCCAGUGCGGGACAGACUGAUUUCCUCUCAGCCUAAAGGAGGGGUUCUGGAGACCAGGCAGCAACUGUAUGGUAUCACUACUGGUGCAACCUGUGCCUACCUUUGGAGAGCAAGAGCAAUUUGGGAAAGAUAUCACUCUGUUAAAAGUGGACAGAAAGCCAACAGAGCAGAAGGGAGAAAGACAGCGUCUUGAAAUUGCAAAGUAAAGACACAAACUGAGCCUAGAAGCCUGAAAGCUGUAAGUCAUGUGUUGUUCAUUUGCUUAGGCCUAAGUCUUUUAACCGGCAUCAGUGCAGACCGUUUGUAAAAUGUAUUCAUACUCCAUCAGUAGGUCCUUAAAUUUAUGUGUUCAUAUUUAUUUACAUCUUCACUAUGUUUUGUGAAUGAAUUUGCAACACAGUUUUUAUGAGGUACUUCUUAAUAAGACCCUGUAGGUGUCACUGUUAUACUUGUUAUCUGGCACUGGGGAGCUGCUGUAGCUGCUAUUGUCUAAAUUGGAGAAGAAAUUGAUAUUAAUGUUAGGCACACAGAGGUGCUGCAUUUUCUACUAGAGUAUGGGGUCAGUUUCCGUUGUAAUUUAAAAUAUCCUUUUUAUCGCAUUGGAUCACCACGGUGUGGAAACCCUGUGUUUAAUCCUUCCCAGCUUUAUCCAAGACUUCUUUUUUUUAGACUAAAAUCUUUUUCUUUUCUUUCCCGUGUUACCAGGUGCUUAUUAAUCUGCAUUAUUAUUUGCUUAUAUUUCAGAAACCACAUCCAACUUCACAUGUAACGUCAAAUACUUCAUACUUCAUAGUUAACUUAAUGUUUGCGUUGUAAAUAAAUCUUCCUGGAUCUCAAAGUCAGACAUCUGGUUCAAGUUGUUACUGGACACCCUACAGCGGGCCAGUGUUUCAGUAGCCAGUUUUCAAUAGU